rnacentral:lncRNA from 1 species
CUGGCAUUGCGCUGCUUUAUCAAGAUCAGUAUUUCAGAUCCUCUACCCUAUGGUGUGAGUGAUGGUGAUUUUAGAAUUGCUGUGAGAAAGAAGAAAAGGAAACUAAUCCAGAAAUGAUGGGUGAAAUGCAAGCUGGCAUUUAAUGCUGUGAGAUAAACCUGAAGAGCAGAAAACUAGUCGAUACCAAUCAGCAACCCGGAGGUAAUACAUGGGGAAGAAAUGGGGAACUCCUGGUCCCAUGAGUCAACAGCAAAUGUCCUCUUGGAGUAAGGGUCUGACUCGUCUAGAAAAUCAUGUAUAUCUUCUGACUUAA